CACGAACAUGUAGUAGAGGUUCCACAUCAGCAUCGACAGCAGUGGCAGAAACGUCAGGCCGUAGCCGAAGCCUCGGAAGGAGCGGCCCACGGCAAAGACCAGUGUGCUUUUCUUGGAGAAAGAAGAAAAGAAGAAAGAAGGAAGAAGAAGAAGAAAGAAAGGAGGAAGAAGGAAGAAGAAGAGCCAGUGUGAUAAUACAUUGAGUGAUUUUUUAAAAAGUGCAUAUAUGAGCAAAAAGUUAUUUUUCCCUUUUCUGAAGUAUGGCAGCAUACUAUAUAGACUGUCUCUGCAUGUUUAUUUUUCCCCCAUUUAAUAUAUCC
rnacentral:lncRNA from 1 species